rnacentral:rRNA from 1 species
AAGCCUGACGGAGCAACGCCGCGUGAGUGAUGAAGGUCUUCGGAUCGUAAAACUCUGUUAUUAGGGAAGAACAUAUGUGUAAGUAACUGUGCACAUCUUGACGGUACCUAAUCAGAAAGCCACGGCUAACUACGUGCCAGCAGCCGCGGUAAUACGUAGGUGGCAAGCGUUAUCCGGAAUUAUUGGGCGUAAAGCGCGCGUAGGCGGUUUUUUAAGUCUGAUGUGAAAGCCCACGGCUCAACCGUGGAGGGUCAUUGGAAACUGGAAAACUUGAGUGCAGAAGAGGAAAGUGGAAUUCCAUGUGUAGCGGUGAAAUGCGCAGAGAUAUGGAGGAACACCAGUGGCGAAGGCGACUUUCUGGUCUGUAACUGACGCUGAUGUGCGAAAGCGUGGGGAUCAAACAGGAUUAGAUACCCUGGUAGUCCACGCCGUAAACGAUGAGUGCUAAGUGUUAGGGGGUUUCCGCCCCUUAGUGCUGCAGCUAACGCAUUAAGCACUCCGCCUGGGGAGUACGACCGCAAGGUUGAAACUCAAAGGAAUUGACGGG